ACGGAUUUGGAUUGUCCCUUAUGUAGAUUUAUUUAUAUGAAGCUUUAAGGGGGCGUUUGGAUUGACGAAUUUGUAGAUUCAACGUAAGUCAAGUGUAGUGGUGUUUGAGUUUUCCUGAAGUGUGAUUAUUUUUCUGUUGUUUGUUUUGACGUAACUCGUACCACUGAAAGUUAAAUUCAAUCACUUCUGCUGUUUGUUUUGAUGUAACUUGGUGCUGGUAAAAUUAGUUUUUUGAGUUCCGUUGUUUGUUUUGAUGUAAGG
rnacentral:lncRNA from 1 species